rnacentral:rRNA from 1 species
CAGAGGUCUCAAGCGUUGUUCGGAUUCAUUGGGCGUAAAGGGUGCGUAGGCGGCGCGGUAAGUCGGGUGUGAAAUCUCGGAGCUUAACUCCGAAACUGCAUUCGAUACUGCCGUGCUUGAGGACUGGAGAGGAGACUGGAAUUUACGGUGUAGCGGUGAAAUGCGUAGAUAUCGUAAGGAAGACCAGUGGCGAAGGCGGGUCUCUGGACAGUUCCUGACGCUGAGGCACGAAGGUCAGGGGGAGCAAACGGGAUUAGAUACCCCGGUAGUCCUGACAGUAAACGGUGCACGUUUGGUGUGGGAGGAUUCGACCCCUUCUGCGCCGGAGCUAACGCGUUAAACGUGCCGCCUGGGGAGUACGGUCGCAAGAUUA